AGCAGCCGCGGUAAUUCCAGCUCCAAUAGCGUAUAUUAAAGUUGUUGCAGUUAAAAAGCUCGUAGUUGAAUUUCGGGAUCAAUACGUCGGUCGUGCUUCGGUACGUACUGGCGUCAUUGAUUUCUCCCUUCUGACGAACCAUGAUGUCAUUAACUUGGUGUCAUGGGAAAUCAGGACUGUUACUUUGAAAAAAUUAGAGUGUUUAAAGCAGGCUCACGCUUGAAUACAUUAGCAUGGAAUAAUGAAAUAGGACGUUUGAUCCUAUUUUGUUGGUUUCUAGGAUCGACGUAAUGAUUAAUAGGGAUAGUUGGGGGCAUUAGUAUUCAAUUGUCAGAGGUGAAAUUCUUGGAUUUAUUGAAGACUAACUACUGCGAAAGCAUUUGCCAAGGAUGUUUUCAUUAAUCAAGAACGAAGGUUAGGGGAUCGAAGACGAUCAGAUACCGUCGUAGUCUUAACCAUAAACUAUGCCGACUAGGGAUCGGAUGAUGUUAAUUUUUUAAUGACUCAUUCGGCGCCUUAC
rnacentral:rRNA from 1 species